rnacentral:misc_RNA from 1 species
GAUGAAGAACGCAGCGAAAUGCGAUACGUAAUGUGAAUUGCAGAUUUCAGUGAAUCAUCGAAUCUUUGAACGCACAUUGCGCCCCUUGGUAUUCCGAGGGGCAUGCCUGUUCGAGCGUCAUUAUAACCCCUCAAGCUUAGCUUGGUGUUGGGGCCUGCUGUAAUAGAGCAGCCCUUAAAAUCAGUGGCGGUGCCAUUAGGCUCUAAGCGUAGUAAUUCUUCUCGCUAUAGGGUUCUGGUGGAUGCUUGCCAUUAACCUCUAAUUUUCUAUGGUUGACCUCGGAUCAGGUAGGGAUACCCGCUGAACUUAAGCAUAUCAAUAAGCGGAGGA